rnacentral:sRNA from 1 species
AGGAAAGCUGAUCACUGAAUAUUUUCUGAAUCCCAUCUAUUUCCUUGCGUGAUAUUUGAAUGGGAAACAUACAAAGCACAGAAAUUAAAUAAAGUGGAUCAUGUCCCAUGAUACUAUAAAUUUCACAUAGCAAUAUAGUUAUCACUAAAAUUAGUACGUUAAACACUAGACUAUGUGUGUGCUAUUUAGUUACAGUGGAGUUUCAUUUGUUUGAAGUGGGUUCAGGAUGUACUAAGUGGUGUGCUUUUGUAUGAUAAGUAAGUUCUUAGUAAGACAAUGGCUUAUAAGUGAAUACCUCUAAAACAAAUAUAUUAAGUUCGAGCCCACUAGAUUAACGGGGGUUAGGAGAAUGCUGCACAAUUCGCAAUUAAUAUAAAGUGUUUUCCUGCUACUUAUAAAGUGUGAGAGACAUAUGACUGUAAAGGGCUUAACUGUCGAAUUAUCUUCCUUGUGGUAAGCAAACAUUUUUGUUGAUGGCCUGUUUUAGUCAUUACAAACACAUGAACAAUUCGAACGAGAAAUUCGACGAUCCCAUAAAAGAAAUGUGCCUAAGCUGUUAUCUUACACUAAAAUCGUAAUAACAAUAAUAUAAACGUCUUCAUUAAAAGAACUUUAAAACAAUCUUUCCUAGCAAACGAAUCUCGUGAAAAAAGAAUGCAAUGUUCCACUUAGAAAAUGAAAUGACUUUACUUUGUUAACAAUAUUUUUUUUAACAUAAUAAUGUAGUAAUGUUGCGUUCGCAUGUACUCAAAUGUGAAUUUUUAAAUUACAAUGUAAAAAAGACUGCCUUCACGUCUCGUUUGCCAGCCCACCAGUUUAAGAAACGCCGUAUUAAGAGCUCAGUAAAUAUAAUGUGAGUUUUAGUGGCAACAAAAACUGCAAUUAAAACACUCAAGUAUUCCAUUUCCUGCUAAAUUGGAUUUUUUCCCCAAGCUAUAAGGCGAUGCAGGAUGUACAAAAUGUAAGUCUUGAAAGUAUUUGUUUUGAAAAUGCUGAAAUUGUCUUCAAUUUUGAAAUUGAUUCAAACAAUGCAAGUCUUGUUUUCACAGCUCUGCAAUUAGUCCAAUAGAGAAAAUGACAUUGUCGAACAACUAUGUCCAGCUUUAUUUAAGUGUGAGGGAACCAAACCUUAACUACUAGACAGUAUUGCACAACAGCACUUACAAAACAGCCUGAACAGACAAAGCAUUCGACAAUAAAAUCAAGCUUAUGCGCUCCCUGGACAUGGCCACAUUCUUAUAUGUAAGCAAAUCUUAAACGCUAACGGCAGAUCUCGAGAAGAGGAUCAUAGAAAUGGAACUAAGAUGCUACAGAAUGAUUCUAGGUGUCAAGUACAAAGACCGCAUCACGAAUAAUAAGAUUAAUAACAGGAUCAAUAUUGCAAUUGGACCCCUCGAUGGCCUGCUAACCAAUGUCAAAAAA